UGCGUAGGCGGGUUUCUAAGUCAGAGGUGAAAGCCUGGAGCUCAACUCCAGAACUGCCUUUGAUACUGGAAGUCUUGAGUAUGGCAGAGGUGAGUGGAACUGCGAGUGUAGAGGUGAAAUUCGUAGAUAUUCGCAAGAACACCAGUGGCGAAGGCGGCUCACUGGGCCAUUACUGACGUUGAGGCACGAAAGCGUGGAGAGCAAACA
rnacentral:rRNA from 1 species